rnacentral:sRNA from 1 species
UGAUGUAAGUGUCAAAAAGUAUAAAUUGCGUUUGUGCUCGCACAAAUAAGCAAUUUAUACUUUUUGACAAUUUUAUGGGAGUUUGAGGUGUUCGAGGAUUGCGGGAAUUGCAUAGCAAUGGAGCAAUCCGGUUACAUCA